UACGGGGGGAGCAAGCGUUGUUCGGAUUUACUGGGCGUAAAGGGCGCGUAGGCGGCCAGCACAAGUCAGUUGUGAAAUCUCCGAGCUUAACUCGGAACGGUCAGCUGAUACUGUGCGGCUAGAGUGCGGAAGGGGCAACUGGAAUUCUUGGUGUAGCGGUGAAAUGCGUAGAUAUCAAGAGGAACACCUGCGGCGAAGGCGGGUUGCUGGGCCGACACUGACGCUGAGGCGCGAAAGCUAGGGGAGCGAACGGG
rnacentral:rRNA from 1 species